rnacentral:misc_RNA from 1 species
AAGAGAUGGUAUGGAUAUAAGCAAUCCAUCAACUAUUUAUUAUUUUCCAUUGAAAACAAUCCAACAAAUAGUUUUUGUUUGAAUUGUUUUUUCAGUGAAAAUCCCCCUACGCAGCUAAGUAUAUAUACAUAUACUACAACUGAUUUCCUAAAAUCAGUGUUCCCCCCUAAUAGAGAUUAAAUGUUAAUAAACAAAUAAUACUCCUUGUUCUUCAAAUGUUUGAAACCAUGGGCAAUUUAAAUGUCUUUGGAUCUUCUCAAAUGACAGAACUUUAAUCCAGUGAGCAGUUUAUCUGAUCAGAUUCAACCAAGAGAUCCCAACUUGAGGGCAAAAUUCAGAGGCAUCAUCAGCACACAGGCAUCAUGAUUUAAUAUGAUGUGAUGAUGGGGGAAGGAUGGAGUUGGCAAGCUCUUCGUUCACCUUCACAGGAAGUGAAGGCAUCUGUUUCAUUAUCUCUGGCAUGUCAUUCAAGCUGCAGAAAUAAUUCAAAUUAGAAGCAAGAAUUGAAUUCCUUGUAUAAUACAUCAAUGAUGCUUAACUGCCAGCUGGCAUUGCAGGAUACUGAAUUGCACUCGAAACAAGGGCAUAAGCAUAUAUAUCUACUUGCAUAAUUUACAGCUUCAAAGCAAACAUUCCAUGUAUCAAACCAAAUUCAUAAAUCUCAUCAAUAAGAAAGUGUCUAGAAGACCUACAUAAUCAAAAAAUUUGUUGAGGAUAAGCGCCCCUCUAAAUGGGCAUCAGUGUGUAUAGGAUGAUAGUGGGCAAAAUUUCUGAGUUUUAAAUGCCUUGUAGUUCUUGGCAUGCCAUCACAGAUAAUAUUAAAAAGUAUUGACCAAGGAAAAAAAAAUCCUCCCGAUGGCUUGAAUGUGACUUUUAAAGCUGAUUGCAUAGACUGAAAGCUCUUCUCAAUAGUCUAUUACCAUAUAGUCAUUCGCAGUGUGCAUGAAGCUCUGGACACAUCAAAAUUUGCACUUCAACAACUGACCAAUCCAGAAGCAGAGUUGUGAGUAAGGCUGUGAUGGAGCACUACAAAAAGCUACUCAAGCCAAUCCAAGACAAGAUCUAUUGGAACUAUGCAAAUCAGGAUCACUUUUGACUCAAGACCAAGUAUUCAUGAUGAUUUUGGGUAUUUUACUCAGGUUGUUUAGACUACUCUCGCUAUUCAAAAUUGUUUAUGUAAUCAUUUCCACAUUAUGAUUACAAGUAAAAAAUAGUCUCAAGUUAACGUAUUGCAGUACUUAGCUUACUGUUCAUGUUUUGCAGUCAACAAAGUGUGGGCUGUUGUUCUAGUUUUCUUAAAUUAGGGUUUUGUAAUCAACAGUAGUGUCUAGGACUAGCUACAUGUUUCCAGAGCUUGGAGCUUAAAAAAAGAGUAGAUAUACACAUUUUUCUUCCUUUAAAGGUAUUUUUUUGGAGGAGGAUUUCAAUUGAUAGCCUCCCUUAGAGUGCAGAGGCGUAGCCAUCAACUAGGUUAUGCCUUGGCCAAUGUAACAUACACUUUAUGAUGGAAAGGAAAAUAUUUAAAGAACUAGAGAUUAAUACCUUUGCUUGGAGGCAAGUAUACCUAGCGUUUGUACCUCUGAUUUCCUUAGUUUUUAAUUUUUUUUAAUGUAUUUUCCCUCUAUUUCUUCUAAUUUUGAGCACACAAAUCGAUGUUCUUUAGCCCAGUUUAGACUGGAAUCUGUCUAACAGAAUUUUAUAUUUAGCUUCAAUUUAAUCUCAUUACUUCUAAAAAGAGUCCCUAGCUAUCCCCAAUUAACAAAUCCAAUUACCCUACAGAAACUUAAGAUUUGUACACAAACCUACAUCAGACUGCUCUUAUAGAAACUGAGAGGGCAACUACUGACUAUUUCAUUUAAUCUCUCUGUCAUUCUGUGAUUCUGUAUCCAUAUGAAUCAUAUUGGUUUUGCUAUCUUGCAUUUUUAAUAUGUUUAAGUUCCCGUGGACAUAUAUCGCAUACCUUUUCCAUGUAAAUCCAGAUUCCAGUCACAUUCAAGCAUUUUCACAGUGAAACAACUACUAGAAAAUUACUCAUUUUACCUUUACCAUAGUAAUCCUCAGUGAUAAUACCAUGAAGAUUCAUAAAAAUAUGAAUAGGAAAAUGGUUGAAUAACCACAUUUCUUUUUUAAGAAAUACAUGUCAGAGUCCUGAAUGGUCAAGAUAUACAUGCCCAACACAUGAAGAUAUGCCACAAAUAAUUUGUCUUCAUAACAACAGAAUGAAGCACAGAGAGGUAUGACAUACUCAUUCAAGAUAGAAAGGAUGUUGUCCCGAGUUUUGCUGAGGAGAUUAAGAUUAUCGUGUAUCUGUAAGACAUAAAAAAGGAAGUAUUGUGAUAAAUUAUCCCCUACUAAGGAAAUGCCUUACAAAAUGAUGCUGAUCCCAAACAAGGCAAAGCAAUCACAAGCCCAUAGAGAAAAACAAUCAUAUGGCAAGGUCAUUAGGUAAAUCAUAUUGGGCAGAUAUAUUAAAAAUCAACAAUAAACUGGCUUUAGGCUGCCUAAACAGUGUGUUGAAUGGAUUUGGCCAACAAUACAAUGAAGCUGCCUAAAAGGUCUCCAAUCCUUAAUUUCUAUGACCACCAUUAUUCCCUCCUGUUUGCACCGCAAAUACAAAAGGAAGAACAAUUGGAUGCCCCACAUAAUUAAACUCUAUUGCAUCUUUCAUGAAAUUUGUACAAAACAUUAACAACUUCCAACAUUUUGAACGAGAACAGAUCAUGAGAAACAUUUUGAAUGGUUUCAGCCCAAAGCAGAUGGGAAUUUUCUUUGUUAUUAGAAAGACUCUAGCUCUAUACAAUACUAGACUUCUGCCUGUGCAUUGCACGGGUAUAAUCAUUAUCAAUAUAUUAUUUAAUUGAAUUAAAAUAUGGCUAUAUAGCAUUUUCUAUAUUUAUAUUUAAUUUAUUUUAAGUAUUUUAAGAAAUGUUUGUACUAAAAGGAACUUUGAAAAUAUAAAGAAAAUAAAUAUGAAGAACAAAUAAUAAAUUGAAAAUAAAUAUAAAGAAUAAAGAAUAAAAUGCCAAUAAAAUGUAUAUAAACAAAUUCUUGUAAGAUGAAGACUACCUUAAUGAUAUUUGUGCAAAUUGUUCUUCAUUUUCUUCUAAUGCCUUGGUUACUAAAAUAUCAUUUGGUAGAUUUAAGAGAAAAUCUUGAUUGCAUAUUGUAUCUUCUAUUUGCAUAAUUGUAUUAUAAUGCAGCUAGUUUGAUUUUUGAUGUGUGAUAUUGGUUUAUAUGAUUCUUAGUUUUCCUAGUAUUAGUUAAAUUAUAACUAUUGUCAUAAAUAUUUUAUUAUAAGAAAAUUAAGUACGUGAUUUUUACAAUUAUAGUGGACAAUAAAAAGGUGGCUUGUUGUAACAUAAUAUGGAAUUUAUUGCAAGAAGAUAUUUUCAUGGCAACAAAGAGGCAUUUUAUUAUUGUAACAAAUAUGAAAUUUGAAUGGGAUGGAAGACCAAAACAAAAAGCCAUGGCACUUGGCAAAAAAAUAGGAUAAACACUUGAAAAUAUUUAUUAUCUAUAUAAAUAUUAUAAAGCUGAACUUUGAAAUAAGUUAAUACAAGCCAGAAGAUCUUGCAAGAAAUAAAACAAGAAAUGGAAGAAAAAAUGAAAAAUAACAGCUUUUACAGGUGUUGUGUGCAAAAUGGCCAUAAAAUACGGGAAAGGUCUCAUGAUAUUGUGAUUAGUUAGCAUCAACUCAGUGUCAAAAUCUAUCUAUCACCUGAAAAGAUGCAAAAUUUGCUGAAAUUUGACUUAAAAUUUGAGCAUUUUGCUCAAGAAGCUCUCCACUUGCACCACCAAUGUCUGCAAAUGAUACAUCAACUGUAAGCAUACAAGUGGUAAUGGUCAUAAACAGGAAAAGGGCAGAUCCUAGUUAAGUUGUUAAUGCCAGAUUAAAGCAUAGGCUCAGUAAGUUCAAUGAUUAUUUAUUUUUAUUUAUUUUGGUGAGAUGAAUUCAAUGAUUAUUGAUCAAAAAGUAUAACCAAUGACAUAAAUGUAUAAUUUUGUAAUACUUCCAUGAUGAGUUAAAAACAAAUUAUCUCUAGCAUUGGUGGAAAACUGUGACAGUCCCUCAACAUUAUGAAAUAAGUGAGUCUAUGUAACCAUUAGGAAUGUAGAUAAAUUUUCCUUGAAAUCAAUCCUAUAUUAUCUGUAUCAGAAAAAAUCAUUGUUUCUUGUUUUGAACAAUUUCUGUAGAUAGUUUACCAGAAUGACAUAUCAAAGGUGCUACCUUUGGCUUGAAUCCUCUCCAACAACUCAAUAAAACCAAUUGUAAGCAGAUUGCUAGAGCAAUCACCACAUUUUUCUACAAUUUCUUGUCAUUCCAGAUAAGGCUAGAUUGUGAUAAGUAAAAAAAAUAAAAAAAAGAAUUUGAAUUGUAUUCUUAAGCUUAAAAUGUUGUACAUAGCAAUUCUACACUACAAAACUGCAGAGCAAAUAUAUGUGAGCGAUUGCUACUAAAAACAGUCAUGUUAAAAGAGCAAACAGGAAAUGAAAACUGGAAGGACAGCCAAAACAAGAGCAAGAAUGAACAGUUUACACUAAAUAAGGAUGUAACUAAUGGGAAGCACUUGGUGAAGCAUGAGCUCAAUUCAUAAAAAAAGUAAAUAUAAUCACCAAAUUAGUGUUUGCAUGUCCAAGCAUGAUCUCUGCAAUUUCAAGCAUAUCAAAAUUCUCCAUUAUAGGGAAAAUAUAGUAUUUCAUAGUAUUUGGUACUAUACAUAGUUAACAAUAAGCUGGCCUAACCAGUACUGCCAGUAUUAUAAGAGUCCAUUGCAUAUUAAAAUUCAAUUUCCUAAUCACUUACUUUCCUCCCUUUGUAUAUCAAUUUACUAGUCACUUACUUUCCUUCCUUUGUGUUGCUAAUUUAUAGGAAGGAACCAACCUUUGUAAGAGAUGCCAUCAUCAUUGUCCAUAGGGAUCAUUGGGGGAGCAUAUGAAGGACCAUUAGGGCGAGGUGUCAAAUGAGAUGAUGACUUAGCUGAAGAAUCUGCAGCUUUUUCCUGAGAAGAUGUGCAUAUAUACUUAUACUUUUGAAAGAUACACAAAAUAAAGUACGUAUGUAGUAAAAUAAAUAGAAAAUUAUUGAUAAUGCAUGGCAUUAUAGUUUGGGUAGAGGGGUCAGGGUGGAACAGGAACCUUUCUAUAAAAACAGAUGCCAACCAGUCCAUCGACAUCCCAAGCUAAAAUAAAAUAUAUUGGAGUCUUGUAGACCAACUGAGCAUGGCACCUUUUUAUGAAUGUAAUCCCAAAUAGCAAUCAUGCCAUAUAAAAAAACACUAUUGUCAAUUUCAGGCAUGUGUCAAGAACAGACACUUUCAACAUUCAUACUCUAGGUGUAUCCAUAAUUUCAUGAUGAACCUUUUCUGGGUUAUUUCACUUCCAGACACCCCAUAGGCAAGUAUUGGACUAGUAGGUACUCCAAAAAUAUUCAUGGCUACAUCCAUUCUACAUAAGAAUGUAAGAUACAAUUAGAGUUGCCACAACUCCUGGAAGUUUUUCUCCUUUGAAUGUCUUUUUGCAUCUUGACCAUUAAUAUUCCAAAGUAAAAAAUAAAAGAAUCAGGAAACUAAUAACAACAACAAUUUGCAGUACAUUCAAUUAAUUUGAUCAACUGAUAAAUAAUUUAAGUUUCUAACAUGUACGAUUGUUUGAACAUGUAAGCCAACCUCCAUGUAUGAAAAUGUUGGCACUAUUUACAGCUGUGUUCGUGGUUUAGUUUGAAAAGUUUUCAAGUCUACACCUGUAAAUUGUUGUAUCAGGUCAGCACUGCCUAGAAAUUAUAUUCACCAAGAAACAUUAAUUGAACACCAUACCUUUCUGUCCUUGUUUUUCCUAGCUGAAUGAUCUUCUUUCCUUCGCUUACCAUUUUCCUUUUUAGUCAUCCAUCUACAACGCAGUGCCACAUCCCUAACCGUUUUGUCCUUUAACUGGAGAGCAAUCUUGGCAUACCGUUGAACCAUUGAUUCUGAGGUAUACUUGUUGAGCAAAUCCUCGAGAAGCGACUGCUCCUCGGCAGUCCACUCAGUGGAAAUACCAGGGCAGUGCCUCAAGGCGGCCUCCGUUUGCGAAUUGUCAGCUGCAGCGGAAGCUCCGGAAUUACUACCCCCACUUUUGGUAGAAUUUACAGGAACGCCAUUGGCAGCAGCGGUGGCCUUAGAAGACGGAAUCUUCUGAGGGGACGCCCCUUCUUGAUUAUUGCCUGCGCCUGAGGGAUUAGCACUAGCAGCCAUAGGCACCAUGUAUCUCUCUCACAAGCAAUCAGUACAUACUUUAGCCAGGGAAAGAUGAAGGAGAAAAGAGGCUGCUUUGUCUGAUCUGUUUCUUUCUUCCUUUCUUUCCUUUCUCAUUUUUUAAUAUAAUUUUUCAGUUUUUG